UGCAUAAAUAAACCAGAGAAAAUUUCGGAGUGUUCUUGUAUUCAGGGAUAUAGAGAAGAUACAGAGACGAAAGAAUGCAUAGAGAUUCAGGGAUGUAGAGAUGAAUUGGGAAAUGAAGCCUGCAACGGUAAAAAAAGAAUCUGCACAAAUAAGCCAGAGAAAAAUUCGGAGUAUGAAUGCGGUUCUUGUGUUCAGGGAUAUAGAGAAGAUACAGAGACAAAGGAAUGCAUAGAGAUUCAAGGAUGCAGAGAUGAAGGGGGAAAUGAAUACUGCUCCGAUAAAAGAAGAAGUUGCACAAAUAAGAAGGAGAAAAUCAGAGUAUGUUUGCGGUUCUUGUAUUGAGGGAUAUAGAGAAGAUAUGGAGAAGAAACUAUGUAUAG